UAGUGUUCUAUUUAAUUCGAUGGGAAAAUGGAUGAAGUGCACAUCAAUAAUGAGAUGUAUGAAAUAUUGGGUUUGCUAUCUUAAUUGUUGGCUUCAUAUCCUUCCCUUUUCAAUUUGACCGUUAUCUAUCUUUAUUGUUGGGUU